rnacentral:misc_RNA from 1 species
GAAAUGCGAUAAGUAGUGUGAAUUGUAGAAUUCAGUGAAUCAUCGAAUCUUUGAACGCAUAUUGCGCCCCUUGGUAUUCCAUGGGGCAUGCCUGUUCGAGCGUCAUUUGUACCCUCAAGCUCUGCUUGGUGUUGGGUGUUUGUCCCCGUCUCCGCGCGUGGACUCGCCCCAAAGUGAUUGGCAGCCGGCGUACUGGUCCCGGAGCGCAGCACAUGUCGCGCAAACGAGUGCCUUGGUACGGCGGCGUCCAUAAGCCCCUCUCUCACGCUCUUGACCUCGGAUCAGGUAGGGAUACCCGCUGAACUUAAGC